rnacentral:rRNA from 1 species
UACGUAGGGGGCAAGCGUUGUCCGGAUUUACUGGGCGUAAAGAGCGCGCAGGCGGUCGUUCAAGUCGCGUGUGAAAGCCCCCGGCUCAACUGGGGAGGGUCACGCGAUACUGAUCGACUCGAAGGCAGGAGAGGGUAGUGGAAUUCCCGGUGUAGUGGUGAAAUGCGUAGAUAUCGGGAGGAACACCAGUGGCGAAGGCGACUACCUGGCCUGUUCUUGACGCUGAGGCGCGAAAGCUAGGGGAGCAAACGGGG